rnacentral:tmRNA from 1 species
GGGGGUGACAGGCUUCGACUUCGGUCGUCGAAGCGGGAGAAGCGAGCCGUGGUCCCCGGAGCCACGUUAAAGAGCCGGGACACGAAACAAACGCCGAGCCUCAGCUCGCAAUGGCUGCCUGAGAAGGUAGCCCGUCUGCCCGGUCUCUGCCCUACGGGCCGGUAGCAGGCGCCAUCAAGUAGGGCUCACCCGAGUGGAAUGGCUGGCCGGCCACCGGGGAAACCUUAGGCCGGAUGCGCCCUGGCAUCGUCGCCGGUGACCUCGCAAGGGCUAAGACCGACUGCCGGCUGCGCUCGGAGAAGGCCCGUUGAGAAGCCGAAGGACGCGGGUUCGAUUCCCGCCACCUCCACGU